ACUGGUUGAUCCUGCCAGUAGUCAUAUGCUUGUCUCAAAGAUUAAGCCAUGCAUGUGUAAGUACAGGCCGACUUAAGGCGAAACCGCGGACGGCUCAUUAAAUCAGAUAUAACUCAUUGGAUCUCUGCUGAACCGCAUUACUUGGAUAACUGUGGUAAUUCUAGAGCUAAUACAUGCCUUUGUAGUCUCCGACCGCGAGGGAGGAGCGCUUUUAUUAGACCAAAACCCUCGGCAGCCGGUUCCCGCAAGGGGCCGGCCGCACACAUCUUGGUGAAUCAGAAUAACUUUUGCCGAGCGCACGACCCCUCCCGUAACCCGGGUUGGGUCGGCGCCGCGUCCUGCAGGCGUCUGCCUUAUCAGCUCUCGAUUGUAGGUUAAACGCCUACAAUGGCUAUCACGGGUAACGGGGAAUCAGGGUUCGAUUCCGGAGAGGGAGCCUGAGAAACGGCUACCACAUCUAAGGAAGGCAGCAGGCGCGCAAAUUACCCACUCCCGGCACGGGGAGGUAGUGACGAAAAAUACUGUUGCGAGCCCCGAACGGGGCCUCGCAAUUGGAAUGAGUACACUUUAAAUCCUUGUACGAGGAUCGAGUGGAGGGCAAGUCUGGUGCCAGCCGCCGCGGUAAUUCCAGCUCCACUAGCGUAUAUUAAAGUUGUUGCGGUUGAAACGCUCGUAGUUUGACUUCUGCUCCGGACCGGCGGUCCGCCUUAGCGGCGGCUACUGCCGGGUUCCGAGCUGUGUCCCCGCCGGCGCACAUGGGGUUUUUAUGCCCUUAACCGGGUGUCCCCUUGUGGCCGGCACGUUUACUUUGAAAAAAUUAGAGUGCUCAGAGCAGGCUGGUUUUUGCUUACAGCCCGAAUGGUCGUGCAUGGAAUGAUGGAACAGGACCUCGGUUCUAUUUUGUCGGUUUUUCGGAACCCGAGGUAAUGAUUAAUAGAAGCAGACGGGGGCAUUCGUACUGCGACGCUAGAGGUGAAAUUCUUAGACCGUCGCAUGACGACCUACUGCGAAAGCAUCUGCCAAGGAUGUUUUCAUUGAUCAAGAACGAAAGUUAGAGGUUCGAAGGCGAUCAGAUACCGCCCUAGUUCUAACCUUAAACGAUGCUGACUGCGGCAUCCACGCCCGUGAGUGGAUCGCCCGGCUACUUGCCAGUGGAUCAUGGACAAGCUGACCUCAGGCUACGGCAGCGACAGCGAGUCACGGAGCUGCUCGACGCCUACGACUUCCAUAUCUUGCCGUCUGUUAACCCUGAUGGCUACACCUUCACAUACUUCCGAACGUCUCUGGCGUAAGAACCGUGUGCCCUAUGGCAGUCUGGGAUGCCACGGCACUGACCCCAACCGCAACUUCGACUCUGACUUCGGUGGCCCCGGAACCUCCAACAGCCCUUGCUCUGACAUCUACCACGGACCAUCCGCUUCUCAGAGGCAGAGUCGCAGGCUGUCCGGGAUUCAGUCUUGGCCUUGGCUCCUCAGAUGAAGGUGUUCUUCACGAUCCACUCCUACUCUCAGCUCUGGAUGACUCCUUACGGCUACACCUCUAGUCUUCCUGCUAACUACGAUGAUCAGUACCGCGUAUCUGGCGUCGGUGUCAGUGCACUCACUGCCGUCCAUGGAACACGCUUCGAAUACGGAAACAUUGCAGAUACUAUCUACCCGCAGCAGGAGGCAGCAGCGACUGGCCUAUGACACCGCCGGCGUGCAGAUGGCCUUCGC
rnacentral:rRNA from 1 species